rnacentral:rRNA from 1 species
AGACCCGAAACCCGGUGAUCUAGCCAUGGGCAGGUUGAAGGUUGGGUAACACUAACUGGAGGACCGAACCGACUAAUGUUGAAAAAUUAGCGGAUGACCUGUGGCUGGGGGUGAAAGGCCAAUCAAACCGGGAGAUAGCUGGUUCUCCCCGAAAGCUAUUUAGGUAGCGCCUCGUGAAUUCAUCUCCGGGGGUAGAGCACUGUUUCGGCUAGGGGGCCAUCCCGGCUUACCAACCCGAUGCAAACUGCGAAUACCGGAGAAUGUUAUCACGGGAGACACACGGCGGGUGCUAACGUCCGUCGUGAAGAGGGAAACAACCCAGACCGCCAGCUAAGGUCCCAAAGUCAUGGUUAAGUGGGAAACGAUGUGGGAAGGCCCAGACAGCCAGGAUGUUGGCUUAGAAGCAGCCAUCAUUUAAAGAAAGCGUAAUAGCUCACUGGUCGAGUCGGCCUGCGCGGAAGAUGUAACGGGGCUAAACCAUGCACCGAAGCUGCGGCAGCGACGCUGAUGCGUUGUUGGGUAGGGGAGCGUUCUGUAAGCCUGCGAAGGUGGCCUGUGAGGGUUGCUGGAGGUAUCAGAAGUGCGAAUGCUGACAUAAGUAACGAUAAAGCGGGUGAAAAGCCCGCUCGCCGGAAGACCAAGGGUUCCUGUCCAACGUUAAUCGGGGCAGGGUGAGUCGACCCCUAAGGCGAGGCCGAAAGGCGUAGUCGAUGGGAAACGGGUUAAUAUUCCCGUACUUGGUGUUACUGCGAAGGGGGGACGGAGAAGGCUAUGUUGGCCGGGCGACGGUUGUCCCGGUUUAAGCGUGUAGGUGUGUGUUCCAGGUAAAUCCGGUUCACUUUAACACUGAGGCGUGACGACGAGGCACUACGGUGCUGAAGCAACAAAUGCCCUGCUUCCAGGAAAAGCCUCUAAGCAUCAGGUAACAUCAAAUCGUACCCCAAACCGACACAGGUGGUCAGGUAGAGAAUACCAAGGCGCUUGAGAGAACUCGGGUGAAGGAACUAGGCAA